UCAUCAGUAAAGCUCAGUUGGUAGAGCGAUACACUUUUAAUGUAUAGGUCGUGAGUUCGAACCUCACACUGGUGAU
rnacentral:tRNA from 1 species